AGUUGGUGCAGCAUGUGACUCUUGAUCUCAUGGUUGUAAGUUCGAUCCCCAUAUUGGGUGCACAGAUUACUUAAAAAUAAAAUCUUAAAAAAAAAACUCGACAGAUGUUCAACAGAUGCUGGCCAAUAAGGAAGGAUUCUCCACUAUUCAGAGCUGAUGACACUUAUAAACCAAUGAUAAUACCAUAGUGAAACUUGCCAGUGAGUGUUAGCUCUGCCUAUGAGAUGUCCAAGUGGAGACAUGUGAUUCUGGAGUUCAGGAGAGGAUCAGGGCUGGUGAUGAGUGGUUUAAGACCAUGGGAUUAUGGGAGGUGACGGGGAGGGGAAAGUGGGUGACGGAUAUUGAGGAGGGCACCUGUCGGGAUGAGCACUGAGUGUUGUAUGGAAACCAAUUUGACAAUAAAUUUCAUAUUAAAAAAAAAAAGACCAUGGGAUUGAUGAGAUCAUCAACUGAGUGGGUGUAGAGAUAUACAAAUGAAAAGGUCAAGCACUGAGAAAGAUAGCCUGCAAAGGUGAGAAGUGACCAUUGAGGUAGAGGAAAACCAAGUAGGGGUGGUGUCCUAGGAGCCAAAGGGAGAAUGUAUUUCAAGGAGAGAGCAAUCUAUGGUGACAAGUGCUGUUGCAGGGUUAAGAAAAUCACCGAAGACCCAUCGUUGGAUUGGAAACGUGGAGGUCAUUGGCUUUGACCAGGACGGUUUUAGUGGAGUCGCUGGGAUAGAAGCCUGCUUGGAAUGUGAUCAAGAGAUGACCAGAGCUGGAAAGUCUGCUUAACUCUUUGAAGACGAUGAGAGAAAUUACGGUGUUUGCUUACUGAUGGAAAUGAUCUGGCAUAGAAGGCAUCGAUGAGAAGCUACUGCAGAGCAAAUCUUUGAGCAGGUGGAAGGAAAUUGAAUGGAGUGCAGAAUAGAACAUAGACAGUUGCAGAAUUGGAGUGGAAGAACAUGCCCUAUUGCCAUUGCCAUCACCCUUCUUCCACAAAAGGCUAAAGAUUUGUGAAGACUGUAGAUUGACUGAAAAGUACUUCGACUCUCCAUUGAAUGCUUGCGCUCAGACGAUCUACCUGAGGGCUUAUGUCCUGCUUUCUUCAAUGAGGUGAAUGUGAGGACACAAUAAAUUAUAUUCAAAUGGCAGCCAUGGAGGAAACUUCCCUUUCCUUCCUCAUCCACCAAGCUGAUCGAUGGGCGCUAAAGCCCCGGGGAAGCAGCAUCUGUUGUAACUCAAGGAUCCCUGCUCGAGCUGAGUAUGAAAUUAACAGACACAGAGCAGUUAGCAGCUCAACAUUUGUUCAAGUCUGGCACAUGCACACAUCAUUAGCAACUAUAUUUGAGGAGCAAGAUCAAGGAGUUUACAGAUGAAGAAACUGAGAUACAAAGAGCUUAUGGGUAUUAUUCAAGGACACAAAGCUGGCGUGUGGUUCUCUGUUAUUAAAUGAGAUCGAUUUUAAAAAUUACAUCAAGGCGUGUUUGUUAUAUGAAUGGGUUGUCUCCCAGGGGAGUUAAUUUGCCCACACGGCUGGUUGUUCCGGCAUCAGAGCAAGCCCCGUGGAGUGAGAAAGUCCCCAGGAGGAGCAGCAAAGAGUGACAGGCACCUGAGUUGUCACAAGCUGAAGCUGUCUUCCCAGCUAAAAUAGCUGUGGCACUACCCACCCCCUACUGCCAUCAUUAAGAGCACAUGGGCUCCGUGUCUACCUCUGUCCUGAGCCAAUGUUCAGGACAACGUCCAGGACUGUGGCCCUGGAAUUUCCAAUGUACUCUGGGACCAAGAUUGUCUGGAUUAUAACAAAUUUUGGCACAAGUGUGUUGAAAACACAUGAGAGAAAACCAAAGGGAUAAAAAUGCCCAAGCUGACUAAGACAGAGUUAACUCCAUGGUGCAGUCUCUCUGGGAAGGCCUCAUUGUGAAGGACAAAUGUCUCAGUGAUGAGGAAAGGAGUUUUAAGAAGAAUACGGUCAACAGUGAUGAAUGCCAGAGAGAAGCCAAAAC